CACAUGCAAGUCGAACGGUAACAGGAUGUGCUUGCACAUCGCUGACGAGUGGCGGACGGGUGAGUAAUGCUUGGGAACUUGCCUUUGCGAGGGGGAUAACAGUUGGAAACGACUGCUAAUACCGCAUAAUGUCUUCGGACCAAACGGGGCUUAGGCUCCGGCGCAAAGAGAGGCCCAAGUGAGAUUAGCUAGUUGGUAAGGUAACGGCUUACCAAGGCGACGAUCUCUAGCUGUUCUGGGAGGAAGAUCAGCCACACUGGGACUGAGACACGGCCCAGACUCCUACGGGAGGCAGCAGUGGGGAAUAUUGCACAAUGGGGGAAACCCUGAUGCAGCCAUGCCGCGUGUGUGAAGAAGGCCUUCGGGUUGUAAAGCACUUUCAGUUGUGAGGAAAAGUUAGUAGUUAAUACCUGCUAGCCGUGACGUUAACAACAGAAGAAGCACCGGCUAACUCCGUGCCAGCAGCCGCGGUAAUACGGAGGGUGCGAGCGUUAAUCGGAAUUACUGGGCGUAAAGCGCACGCAGGCGGUUUGUUAAGCUAGAUGUGAAAGCCCCGGGCUCAACCUGGGAUGGUCAUUUAGAACUGGCAGACUAGAGUCUUGGAGAGGGGAGUGGAAUUCCAGGUGUAGCGGUGAAAUGCGUAGAUAUCUGGAGGAACAUCAGUGGCGAAGGCGACUCCCUGGCCAAAGACUGACGCUCAUGUGCGAAAGUGUGGGUAGCGAACAGGAUUAGAUACCCUGGUAGUCCACACCGUAAACGCUGUCUACUAGCUGUGUGUGUCUUUAAGACGUGCGUAGCGAAGCUAACGCGCUAAGUAGACCGCCUGGGGAGUACGGCCGCAAGGUUAAAACUCAAAUGAAUUGACGGGGGCCCGCACAAGCGGUGGAGCAUGUGUUUAAUUCGAUGCAACGCGAAGACCUUACCUACACUUGACAUGCUGAGAGUUACUAGAGAUAGUUUCGUGCCUUCGGGAACUCAGACACAGGUGCUGCAUGGCUGUCGUCAGCUCGUGUCGUGAGAUGUUGGGUUAAGUCCCGCAACGAGCGCAACCUUGUCCUUAGUUGCCAGCCCUAAGUUGGGCCUCUAAGGGGACUGCCGGUGACAACACCGAAGAAAGAUGGGAAGACAUCAAGCAUCCUUGGGCGCUUAUUGGUGGGGGGUCACACCGGGGUUCACUGGGGUUUUCUGAAAGAA
rnacentral:rRNA from 1 species